UUUCAGAUAGGAUGGAGGUUCUACUGUCCCCAAGGACCACUCAAGUGAACCCCCAACCAGCUAUGCCUGCUUUUUGUGAAACAUGUGUAUCACCCCUUUUUCCUCUACUGUGAAUAAUGUGCUUUUUGCUUCUCCCCCCUCAGAGAUAGCAGACAAGAUCUACAAUCUAUACAAUGGUUACACCAGUGGCAAGGAACAGCAGACUGCUUACAACACACUGAUGGAGGUCUCUGCCUCUAUGCUCUUCCGAGUCCAGCACCACUACAACUCUCACUAUGAAAAGUUUGGUGACUUUGUGUGGAGGAGUGAGGAUGAGCUAGGACCCAGGAAGGCACACCUGAUCCUGCGACGGUUGGAGAGGGUCAGCAGCCAUUGUUCUAGUCUCUUGCGAAGCGCCUACAUCCAGAGCCGUGUGGACACCAUACCGUAUCUCUUCUGCCGCAGUGAAGAGGUCCGGCCUGCAGGAAUGGUGUGGUACAGCAUCCUCAAAGAUACCAAAAUCACAUGUGAGGAGAAGAUGGUGUCCAUGGCCCGAAACACGUAUGGAGAGACCAAAGGCCGGUGAGGGAGGGUACUACCCUCCUUGAGCACAGAGACGCUCUUGGGGGAGCACUACUUUCAUGGAUCCUGGGACCUGGGUGGGCUGGGGAACAGCUGAAUGGCCUGGCACAUGACACUUGCCAGCAAGGCCAAAGCAAACUGUUUCUCCAUGAACAGACAACAGAGAACUUUGUAACCAAUGGAAUUAUUCAUUUUUCUCUUUUAUUUUUUCUAAGAUAUUAUUUGACUCUAUCAAAUAUCUUUCCUUUUUAAACCAUUUCUUAUGGAUGGAAGUCAUUGUGGAGGCAAGACCUUUCAGGUGGAGAACAAGCAGCCUUUCCUCUUCUUCCUCCCUUUUGCCAUGGACCCCUGGAAGGAGCCCUGUGGAGAGACAAUUUGACUACUUCUGCAUUAGCAAGGGUGCCCUGGAACUGUUGCAGCCAGGAAGCUUGGGUCUUAAAGGCCUUCUCUCUCUCUCUCUCUCUCUCUCUCUCUCUCUCUCUCUCUCUCUCUGUCUCUCUCUCCCUCUCUUCCUCCUCCUCCUCCUCUUUAUUCCACCUCUCCUUCCUUAUUUUUUCCUCUCUCUCUCUCUUUCUCUCUCUCUUCCUCUCUCUUUCCCUUUCUCUCCCUGGACAUUACUGAGUUUGCAGGCCCACUGCUUCUUUCUGCUACCUGUGGGUCUCUACAGGACUUUCUGUGCAUUAAAAUUCCUAUUGUCUCUCUUUUUGCUUGGGUGAUGUUUCUUAACAAUGAAGUAUGUUGAGGGACCUUUGUCUAUUCAUUAAACAAACAUUCAUUAACGAGGUACUCUAUGGAAGGUACAGGAUAAACAAACAAACAAAAAAACCAGAAGUUUUCUGUCCUAUAGGAACUCACAGUCUAGUGGUUACUGUAGGAAAGAAAUCUAGAAUAGUGUCAGGCUGGACUGGGAAUGAGUGAAUGCUUUUUACAGACAUAUCUGGGUCAUAAGACAUACUGGAGGAGUUAAAACAUGCUUACUUGAAAAUGCAAUAGCUUAUCCCAAAGAAUGAGGAGGAAGAAGGCAGACAUUAGUGAGAAAGGUAGGAUAUGCUCCAGGUAGAGGCAAAGCCAUGAACAAGAGCAGGAAAAAGAUAAAAUAUAGCUUAUUAAAGAUCCAAACAAGCUGUUACUGAGUAUAGGAAAUACUGAAUUUAGCAUGAGCACAAGUAGGGCAUUAUGUACAGCAUCUCAAACAACUUAUCAGUGGCCACACUAUUGAAGAAAAUAAUAGCAUCUCUUCCAGUGCCUAUAACUCCCAUGAUCUCUGGGGGGGUGAGGCCUCAUGAACCCCUUAUGCUCACAUGAUGAAAAGGCAACAAAUCCACCCUUGUGAAGCUCUUGUGCAGGUAACCUCAGCUGCAGUGAAUAGGUGCAAUGAUUGUGCCAUAUAUGGAAGAAAGGAAUAGAAGAAGGCAUACGAGAGGGUAAGGCAUUCUCCAAACUCAGAAUGUAUAUGUAUGAAAUUUUAAACCAAUUUUUGAACCCAAUUUUUAAACAUAAAAUCAAAGUAGUAGAGAGAAGGCUGUGUGCUCAGCAGCUUAGGAAG
ensembl:lincRNA